UAAAUAGCCCGUAUUGCUUUGGCAGUACGCCGGCUUCUUAGAGGGACUAUCGGCUCAAGCCGAUGGAAGUUUGAGGCAAUAACAGGUUAACCGUCACAGGCCUGUAAUAGUAGAGCCUUAUAAUCUGCUAGUUGCUGUCUUUACCUCUCUGAGGGGAGCCCCUCGAUAUCGGGGAGAGGAGCUGGGCUGCGGCCCGGCUAUGACAGCAGCGACACUACCUGGUACAGGGGACGCCUCGCUUUCAGCAGGCCAACCCUGUGGCGAGUCCGAGUAGCGUCGGACCGUCGCAACGCGCGGAAAGGAGUGGGCUGCAUUAUUGCGGCUUAAGGUACGUGCUAAACCCUUGGGAAACCAAGCUCGCAGGAUUAGACCCGAUAUGUCGAAGUCUGCGAGGGCCG
rnacentral:rRNA from 1 species